rnacentral:rRNA from 1 species
UACGGAGGAUCCGAGCGUUAUCCGGAUUUAUUGGGUUUAAAGGGUGCGUAGGCGGUUUGAUAAGUUAGAGGUGAAAGCCCGUGGCUCAACCACGGAACUGCCUCUAAUACUGUCAAGCUAGAGAAUAGUUGCUGUGGGCGGAAUGUGUAGUGUAGCGGUGAAAUGCUUAGAUAUUACACAGAACACCGAUUGCGAAGGCAGCUCACAAAGCUAUUUCUGACGCUGAGGCACGAAAGCGUGGGGAGCAAACAGG